rnacentral:piRNA from 1 species
UGAGAACAAUUAAGAUGGACG